AAAACGAAGAAAUUGUUUCUCAACGGAUCCAACUUUCCUUCGCACUAAAACUAAAACGAUUCUAGACUCAAUUAUCGGUACGCGUAGUUCGAUUGGUUUUGCGAAAGCGGGAAAUCCCCAUGUAGAAAACUUUUCAAGAAACCAUUAGGUAACCUCAACGGUUAUGUAACGAGGUCGUGUCCUUUAUCGUUUGGAUCGCAAAUGCUACCGGAUAGACAUUGCGAGAGACCCGCCGCGAGUGAACGAGGUCGCUAAGGAUCCUUUAAGGCAAAAAAGAGUAAGUGAGAAAGACAGAACAAUAUAGAUCACAAAUAUCUUUGCUCAGCAACACUGUGACAAGAGUUCCCAGCAAGAACUUUCCGAGAAUCGUUAGCCAGGAAAAAAAGAUGAGAGAAAUAAAACUAAAACGAUUUCACAACAUUGCAGACGACUGCAGUGACGCUGGUUCACGUAACCAGCGUCGCUGCGUUACCUCGGCGAAUAGGAGAUAAAAUGCUGGCUGGAGGAUGUUUAAAAAAAAAGUCGAAAAAUAGAAAAAAGAAUUAGCAGCUUUUGCUCGAUGCCUGAAAAUUCUGGACAGUAUCAAAAGGUAUAUGUCGUACGUCGUAAGGUACGUUAUAUGUCAAUUUAUCUCAUUAUUACUCUAUGCAGAUUAUAAGAUAAUCAAUAAUAAAUGUAUACAAAACAUUUACAGUGUUGCCUACAGGAUAGACAAAUUUCACUGUGAAUAACUAUUGUAAAAAAAAUACCUCCUACUUUGUCUCUUGUAACAAAAAUACGUUUAUUUCUAGAAAUAUUCAUACAAUUUCUAUAGUUUACAAGAUGGAUUAGAUAAGAAUUAAAGGUUGAUAAAAAUCUAACAAACGGCAGAUAAGCUAAGCCAAUAACAACUUAGUACAAAAUCUACAAAGCUAAGCAAAGCUCAAGAUUCGUUAUCUCUAUGAAACAUUUACUCGACGCUAAUUAAUAAUAACCAAAAGACAAAUAACAGGCAUUUACAUCGUCACGCGAUAUGCAUGAUCGAAGUCACGUGUAUUGAAUUCCAAUGGGGCUAAAUAAAAAAAGACGACAAUUUUAUCCACACAAUUGGAUACAGGUUACCCACGUGGUAUAAAGAAUUUUUCAAAAUUCCAAACAUUUCCAAUACAAAAAAUAUUUUUCAGAACCAGUUAUCCUUUCCACUUAACACGUGAGCAUCUCCAGGGACAACAGCAUUCCAUUUGAUUGGACCAUUGAGCAGUAGCAGUAUUCGAGUAAACGCAUACCACCGGACCUUAUCUGACGUCUUGAGCAAACCUAACCUAGCCCAAUCAAUCACAACAAAGCACAUUAGCAUUCGGAAACCACAGCAAUCAAAUGAGUCAAAGGAGCGCUCUCGUACGUCACAGUACUUCCGGUGAUACCGGUCCCUCGACUUCAGGAAUCUCAUGACCCUUGGAUCGAUCUUGGCCGUGCGGAAAGAACUUCCAGG